rnacentral:rRNA from 2 species
GGUGAAGUGAUUUACUCAUGGAGCUGAAGUCAGUCGAAGAUACCAGCUGGCUGCAACUGUUUAUUAAAAACACAGCACUGUGCAAACACGAAAGUGGACGUAUACGGUGUGACGCCUGCCCGGUGCCGGAAGGUUAAUUGAUGGGGUCAGCGCAAGCGAAGCUCCUGAUCGAAGCCCCGGUAAACGGCGGCCGUAACUAUAACGGUCCUAAGGUAGCGAAAUUCCUUGUCGGGUAAGUUCCGACCUGCACGAAUGGCGUAAUGAUGGCCAGGCUGUCUCCACCCGAGACUCAGUGAAAUUGAACUCGCUGUGAAGAUGCAGUGUACCCGCGGCAAGACGGAAAGACCCCGUGAACCUUUACUAUAGCUUGACACUGAACAUUGAGCCUUGAUGUGUAGGAUAGGUGGGAGGCUUUGAAGUGUGGACGCCAGUCUGCAUGGAGCCGACCUUGAAAUACCACCCUUUAAUGUUUGAUGUUCUAACGUGGACCCGUAAUCCGGGUUGCGGACAGUGUCUGGUGGGUAGUUUGACUGGGGCGGUCUCCUCCUAAAGAGUAACGGAGGAGCACGAAGGUUGGCUAAUCCUGGUCGGACAUCAGGAGGUUAGUGCAAUGGCAUAAGCCAGCUUGACUGCGAGCGUGACGGCGCGAGCAGGUGCGAAAGCAGGUCAUAGUGAUCCGGUGGUUCUGAAUGGAAGGGCCAUCGCUCAACGGAUAAAAGGUACUCCGGGGAUAACAGGCUGAUACCGCCCAAGAGUUCAUAUCGACGGCGGUGUUUGGCACCUCGAUGUCGGCUCAUCACAUCCUGGGGCUGAAGUAGGUCCCAAGGGUAUGGCUGUUCGCCAUUUAAAGUGGUACGCGAGCUGGGUUUAGAACGUCGUGAGACAGUUCGGUCCCUAUCUGCCGUGGGCGCUGGAGAACUGAGGGGGGCUGCUCCUAGUACGAGAGGACCGGAGUGGACGCAUCACUGGUGUUCGGGUUGUCAUGCCAAUGGCACUGCCCGGUAGCUAAAUGCGGAAGAGAUAAGUGCUGAAAGCAUCUAAGCACGAAACUUGCCCCGAGAUGAGUUCUCCCUGAGACUUAGAGUCUCCUGAAGGAACGUUGAAGACGACGACGUUGAUAGGCCGGGUGUGUAAGCGCAGCGAUGCGUUGAGCUAACCGGUACUAAUGAACCGUGAGGCUUAACCUUACA